rnacentral:rRNA from 1 species
UGAGGAAUAUUGGACAAUGGGCGAAAGUCUGACCCAGCCAUCCCGCGUGCCGGAAGACGGCCCUCAGGGUUGUAAACGGCUUUUGACGGUGAAGAACCGACAGGAUGCGUCCUGUUUUGACGGUAGCCGUUGAAUAAGCACCGGCUAACUCCGUGCCAGCAGCCGCGGUAAUACGGAGGGUGCGAGCGUUGUCCGGAUUUAUUGGGUUUAAAGGGUGCGUAGGCGGGAUGCUAAGUCAGUGGUGAAAGACGGUGGCUCAACCAUCGCAGUGCCGUUGAUACUGGUGUUCUUGAAUGCGGAUGAGGUAGGCGGAAUGUGGCAAGUAGCGGUGAAAUGCAUAGAUAUGCCACAGAACACCGAUUGCGAAGGCAGCUUACCAAAUCGUUAUUGACGCUGAUGCACGAAAGCGUGGGGAUCAACAGGAUUAGAUACCC